rnacentral:rRNA from 1 species
UACGUAGGGCGCAAGCGUUGUCCGGAAUUACUGGGCGUAAAGCGCACGUAGGCGGCUUUGUAAGUUAGAGGUGAAAGCCCGGGGCUCAACUCCGGAAUUGCCUUUAAGACUGCAUCGCUAGAAUUGUGGAGAGGUAGUGGAAUUCCGAGUGUAGAGGUGAAAUUCGUAGAUAUUCGGAAGAACACCAGUGGCGAAGGCGACUUACUGGACACAUAUUGACGCUGAGGUGCGAAAGCGUGGGGAGCAAACAGG